GGGAUUACAGGCACCUGCCACCAUGCCCAGAAAAUUUCUGUAUUUUAGUAUAGGUAGGGUUUCACCAUCUUGGCCAGGCUGGCUUCCAGCUCCUGCCCUCAAAUGAUCCACCCACCUGGGCCUCCCAAAGUGCUGGGAUUAUAGGCAUGAGCCACUGCAGCUGGUCUAUUAGCUAUGCUCUUGAGGUGAUUUACAUUUGUUGUGUCUGUGGGGUAGAAAUACUGUACAGUGGUGUUGGCAGCUCUUCCUGAUUUUGCUUUCAGUGACCUCAGGUUGGUAGCUUGAAAUUAGUUGUGGCAGGAGUAUUCACACCACAGAAAUGGGCUAUUGCUACUAAUCAGAGCUGAUAGUUACUAAUCCCAACCCUCCCAGAGCCAGUGGUGAAACAC
rnacentral:lncRNA from 1 species